rnacentral:lncRNA from 1 species
GACACUAUUUUUUUGUCACAUAAAGGUACCAAAUGUCGUCACAAAAUGUAAAUCGCUAGGAGCCGGUUGACGAUGGCGUUUCUAUGAUGAUAUGUGUUGUUUUUAUGUGACGGAUGUGGAGCGUCACUAUUUGUUAUUUCAAAUAUGUGCCCAGCAGCGCGAGCAGGCGGCCCAGCUGCGAGCUAAAAUGCAAAAAAGGAGAGCAACUGCUGGAACUGGGAAUCGAACCCGAGACAUUACAAUGGAGUCACGCAUGCCUUACCACUAGGCUACUGGCUCAGUUGUGUUUUGUCUUUGCAUGGCCAAUUUUUAUAUAACAUGAUACUGAUCAUGAUUUGGGUUGAAGAACACAUGAAUAGUUGAUCUUUCUC